AUGGCUAAUUCCUCAUCAUUUCUCUGCCUUGCUCUAUUUUCCUCACUCGUCUUCUUCAUCGCCACUCCAUCUUUAGCCAAAACAUCUUUCCGUCCCAAAGCCCUGGUUCUUCCGGUAGCCAAACACUCUCCCACUCACCAAUACCUCACCAGCAUCAAGCAAAGAACCCCUCUUGUCCCUGUAAGACUAACCCUAGACCUCGGCGGUCAGUUCCUUUGGGUAGACUGUCAACAAGACUAUGUCUCAUCUACCUACAAACCUGCCCGUUGCAACUCAGCUCAAUGCUCCCUCGCAAACUCUAAGGCCUGCACUACAGAGUGCAACUCUUCCCCCAGGCCAGGCUGCAACAACAACACAUGCAGUGUCCUCCCAGACAACUCCGUCAUCCCCACAGCCGGUAACGGCGGUGAGGUAGGUCAAGACGUCGUCUCCCUCCACUCCACAGACGGUUCUAACCCUACCACGCUCGUUUCUGUUCCCAAUUUCCUCUUCGCUUGUGCUGAAACCUUUCUCUUGGACCGCCUUGCGAGUGGUGUCAAGGGUAUGGCUGGUCUUGGUAGAGCUAAUAUUGGACUUCCUUCUCUGUUUGCUUCCGCUUUUAGCUUCAAAAGAAAAUUCGCCAUUUGCUUGCCUUCCUCAACAAAAUCAUACGGUGCCGUUUUCUUCGGAGAUGGCCCUUACAACCUUGUUCCUGGCAUUGACGUCUCUAUAUCUCUUACUUACACCCCAUUUCUCCUCAACCCUGUAAGCACUGCCAGUGCUUAUUUCGAAGGUGAUGCUUCUACAUAAUACUUCAUCAACGUAACGUCAAUCAAGAUCAACGACAAGGUCGUCACCUCAUUCAACACUUCCUUGCUAACCAUCGAUGAAAACGGUUAUGGCGGCACGAAGAUCAGCACAGUUCAUCCCUACACGGUCUUGGAGACGUCAAUAUACAACGCUGUUGUCAACGCAUUUGUGAGUGAACUCUCUGAUGUACCCAGAGUGACAGCCAUAGCACCAUUCGGAGCUUGCUUCAACUCAACCGCCAUUGUUAGCACGCGUGCCGGCCUGGUUGUGCCUACCAUCGACCUUGUGUUGCAGAGCGAGAGCGUGUACUGGAGAAUCUUUGGGGCCAACUCGAUGGUGCAGGUGACCAAGGACGUUGUGUGUUUAGGGUUUGUGGAUAAUGGUCAGAGCCCGAGUAACCCAAGAACUAAUAUUGUGAUCGGAGGUCAUCAGAUUGAGGACAAUCUUCUUCAAUUCGAUUUAGCUUCUUCUAGACUUGGGUUCAGCUCCUCUCUCUUGUACAGAUCCAGACAAACAACUUGCGGCGACUUCAAUUUCACAUCAGUUGCUUAGAAAUAUUUGCUGGCCAUUGUUGUUUUUGUAUUUCAAAUGUUUAAUAAAUGGUUGAUUGCUUCUGAAUCUGGAGGCAUCAAUCAUGAUUGAGAUUGAAUAAUUGAUAUUUGGGUCCGGUUC